UGGGGAAUUUUGGACAAUGGGCGCAAGCCUGAUCCAGCAAUGCCGCGUGCAGGAUGAAGGCCUUCGGGUUGUAAACUGCUUUUGUACGGAGCGAAAAGGUCUGCCCUAAUACGGUGGGCUCAUGACGGUACCGUAAGAAUAAGCACCGGCUAACUACGUGCCAGCAGCCGCGGUAAUACGUAGGGUGCGAGCGUUAUUCGGAAUUACUGGGCGUAAAGCGUGCGCAGGCGGUUAUAUAAGUCAGAUGUGAAAUCCCGGGGCUCAACCUGGGACCUGCAUUGGUGACUGUAUGGCUAGAGUACGGUAGAGGAGGAUGGAAUUCCGCGUGUAGCAGUGAAAUGCGUAGAUAUGCGGAGGAACACCGAUGGCGAAGGCAGUCCCCUGGGCCUGUACUGACGCUGAUGCACGAAAGCGUGGGGAGCAAACA
rnacentral:rRNA from 1 species